AGAUGUGGAGGGGUUAGAGGCUUUUCAUGGCAAAGUUGGGAGGUUGACAUCAACAUGUGGUAGGCAGCAAGACAUAGCAAUAGAAACGAGACAACUAGCAUAGCAAUGAUAGUAGUGGUAUCUAAGGAAACAAUCAUAUUGCCUGUGAUCCCGCUAGGAAGAAGAACGAAUCCAUGAAGUAGACAAACCAACAUAGUUGAACGAUCCUCACACCCCAAAGCGGUUCGGAACUCUAUCGAGAAGAAACAAUCCGGA
rnacentral:lncRNA from 1 species